CAGGAUCUGUGGGGAGAUCAAUGCCACCAGCUUGGUUCAAGCAGGACCAGCACCGAAUUUCUUUUCUACUUGGUCUUACCAUUUCUUGCGUCAUGGACAAAUAACAAAUGAAGAUGUGCCAGAGGUGACUGAUAAGGAAAUCCAGAACCUGAUUCAGGAGGUAAAUUAAACAGAAUAAUUUAUUUUCUGUAAAUUGUACUAACAAGUGUUUCUGAUUGAAGGUCGAACGUGCCGAAGAAGACGCACUGACAGACCUUUCUGAUGCCAUUGUAGCAUGUGGCUACACCGGUCCAAUUCACAGCGAUCGCAAAAAGGCCAUCAUUGAGGCCAUCAGUUUGCAUUCGGUGAUGAGACUCAUACCGAUGCUAAGUCAGCUUAGAGAAGGACUGGCCAUCUAGGGUUUGGAUGAGCUGUUGCCACAACACCACCAGGCACUUCAGCCCCUCUUUCUUCCUGGGAACCUUAAACAGGUGGAUGCAGACUUCGUUGUGGAGGCACUGGCUCCUCAGUACAGUGACAAUGGAUCAGUAAGACACAAAGGAAGUGGACAUGAUCAACUUUUUGCAGGACCUCUUGCAAAACCUGGAAGAAGGAGGAACAGAUGACCAAGAUGGGAGCCCAUCAGAUGGCUGUGGAGCAAAGCAGUUGUCAGUGCAAGGAUUUUUUUCAGUGGGUUUCAGGCCAGGCACAUGUGCCACUAACAGACACAGAAAGAGAAUUUUACAAGAUAACUAAAUGUUGAUCACGACAGUACCACCCGGUAUGGACCACACUUAAUCACCUUACCUACAUGGCACGUUACUACAUACACUGACUUUGAAAGUCAGCUUACUCAGGCAGUCUGUGAUAGAUUUGAUUUUAGCAGACAUUAAGUGAAAACA